CCUACGGGUGGCUGCAGUGGGGAAUAUUGGACAAUGGGCGAAAGCCUGAUCCAGCCAUGCCGCGUGUGUGAAGAAGGCCUUCGGGUUGUAAAGCACUUUCAGUGGGGAAGAAAGCCUUGGGGCUAAUACCCUCGAGGAAGGACAUCACCCACAGAAGAAGCACCGGCUAACUCCGUGCCAGCAGCCGCGGUAAUACGGAGGGUGCGAGCGUUAAUCGGAAUUACUGGGCGUAAAGCGCGCGUAGGCGGUCUGAUAAGCCGGUUGUGAAAGCCCCGGGCUCAACCUGGGAACGGCAUCCGGAACUGUCAGGCUAGAGUGCAGGAGAGGUAGGUAGAAUUCCCGGUGUAGCGGUGAAAUGCGUAGAGAUCGGGAGGAAUACCAGUGGCGAAGGCGGCCUUCUGGACUGACACUGACGCUGAGGUGCGAAAGCGUGGGUAGCAAACAGGAUUAGAUACCCGAGUAGUC
rnacentral:rRNA from 1 species